CACGUAGUGUCCAAGCGUUGUCCGGAUUUAUUGGGCGUAAAGAGCUCGUAGGCGGCUUGGUAAGUCGAGUGUGAAAACUCUGGGCUCAACUCAGAGACGCCACUCGAUACUGCCAUGGCUUGAGUCCGGUAGGGGAGUGUGGAAUUCCCGGUGUAGCGGUGAAAUGCGCAGAUAUCGGGAGGAACACCAGUAGCGAAGGCGGCACUCUGGGCCGGAACUGACGCUGAGGAGCGAAAGCGUGGGGAGCGAACAGG
rnacentral:rRNA from 1 species